rnacentral:tRNA from 1 species
GGAAGAUUGGCAGAGUGGUUGAAUGCACUGGUCUUGAAAACCAGCAAAGGGGAAACUCUUUCGAAGGUUCGAAUCCUUCAUCUUCCGCCA